UUGACUCUCUUACUGAAAAGAAUUUUUUGUUUUGUUUUGUUUUAAGGAGCCUUUCCCCUGGAGUUCUCCAGCCUUCUGUGUUAGUUACAGGAGAUAAGGCCGAUUCAGCCAGUCAACAAAAUGUUUUGCUCAUGAAGCUGAAGUUCUGCUUUUCUCCUGUACUGGAAGUGGUGAUACUUCCACAUGCUUCAGAGAAAAAUUUGUUUUAAGGUAUCAUGCAACUAUUUUCAUUGCAAGAGUCAAAUGUGCUCACCUCCUUAAGGCAAAGCGUCAGAAGACCCCUGUCAACCUCAGGAUCUUGUGCUGGACUGAAUUAGUAAAGACACAGGCAAUGGGAGGAGGAAGGAGACGGACUGCCACUUCUGCCAUUAGCAGCAGCAAAGCACAGCUCUAAGGUUGUGGGUGCUGCAGUUCCUCCUACUCGCCUUGAUGGAGAGGCGAUCAGGAUGAGGCUGUGCCCUCAAGCCCAGCACUGGUGCUGCUUAGCGUGAGAACUGCAGCGGUACCUUUUACAGCAAGGAUCAAUGGAAGCCCGUGAGCAGCUUCGCCGCCAGGAAAACUACGGAGGCUGAAGAAGACAUCCAUCCUGCUGCAAGCCUAGAUGCCCGAGGGGACAUCCUUGCCUGGAUGCUCCCUGCUUGGCCCUAACGAGGCCCAUCAGUGCUAAUGGAGAAAUGACCUCCAGCUAGCGCAUGUGGCUGCUUAUGUACUCGCAUCCUGCCUGCUUUGGAGUUAUCUUCUUCUCCUGCCGGGGGCGGGCUGCAGCAGGACCUCUAGAAGCAAGGAUCAGCCCUGGAGGGGGCGCGAGACGGUGGCCGAUUCUCGCUGUGAGUAGUCUCCUUCACAAAGAGAAGGCAGGCGCCCAGAGCCCAGGAACUGGAGCCACCCGGCCUCAGGGCUGCCGGCGCCGCCCUCCUUCGGGACGCCGUUCGCGGCGGUUGUCUUUCCGCAGGUUUGGGGCCAGCGGGAGGAUGCCGGUGGCGUUAAAGCGCAGAUGGACCCGGAGAGCGAGGCGAGCGCGGAGCGCCCUCGGGAUGGAGUCGUAAGCCGGGCGUCGGAAGACAGACUCGGCUCUUACGGUCGGGGGUGCGCAG